rnacentral:rRNA from 1 species
GAUGAACGCUGGCGGCGUGCUUAACACAUGCAAGUCGAACGGAAAGGCCCAAGCUUGCUUGGGUACUCGAGUGGCGAACGGGUGAGUAACACGUGGGUGAUCUGCCCUGCACUUCGGGAUAAGCCUGGGAAACUGGGUCUAAUACCGGAUAGGACGAUGGUUUGGAUGCCAUUGUGGAAAGUUUUUUCGGUGUGGGAUGAGCUCGCGGCCUAUCAGCUUGUUGGUGGGGUAAUGGCCUACCAAGGCGUCGACGGGUAGCCGGCCUGAGAGGGUGUACGGCCACAUUGGGACUGAGAUACGGCCCAGACUCCUACGGGGGGCAGCAGUGGGGAAUAUUGCACAAUGGGCGCAAGCCUGAUGCAGCGACGCCGCGUGGGGGAUGACGGCCUUCGGGUUGUAAACUCCUUUCGCUAGGGACGAAGCGUUUUUGUGACGGUACCUGGAGAAGAAGCACCGGCCAACUACGUG